CAGCUCAAAUUUGAAAUCUGGCCCUUUUAGGGUCCGAGUUGUAAUUUGCAGAGGGUGCUUUGGCGUUAGUAGCGAUCUAAGUUCCUUGGAACAGGACGUCACAGAGGGUGAGAAUCCCGUACGUGGUUGCUCUACUUUCGCCGUGUAAAGCCCCUUCGACGAGUCGAGUUGUUUGGGAAUGCAGCUCUAAAUGGGAGGUAAAUUUCUUCUAAAGCUAAAUACCGGCCAGAGACCGAUAGCGCACAAGUAGAGUGAUCGAAAGAUGAAAAGCACUUUGGAAAGAGAGUCAAAAAGCACGUGAAAUUGUUGAAAGGGAAGCGCUUGCAGCCAGACGUGCCUGUAGUUGCUCAUCCGGGCUUUUGCCCGGUGCACUCUUCUGCAGGCAGGCCAGCAUCAGUUUGGGCGGCUGGAUAAAGACCUCUGUCACGUACCUCCCUCCGGGGAGGCCUUAUAGGGGAGGUGUCAUGCAGCCAGCCCGGACUGAGGUCCGCGCAUCUGCUAGGAUGCUGGCGUAAUGGCUGUAAGCGGCCCGUCUUGAAACACGGACCAAGGAGUCUAACAUCUAUGCGAGUGUUUGGGUGUCAAGCCCGGGCGCGCAAUGAAAGUGAACGGAGGUGGGAACCCUUCGGGGCGCACCAUCGACCGAUCCUGAUGUCUUCGGAUGGAUUUGAGUAAGAGCAUAGCUGUUGGGACCCGAAAGAUGGUGAACUAUGCUUGAAUAGGGUG
rnacentral:rRNA from 1 species